CCAGUGUUGCCUCCCUGUGUCUCAGUCACAAUCCAUUUUCUACCCGACAAUAUUUACUAGGCUUCUACCCAGUACCAGUUCUGGUUAGAUUGGGGAUACAGAAAGAAAACUGUACAUUCCCUGUGUGGCUUGCAUUCCAUUCCCAUUGGACAGCCGUACUCUAGGCGCACUGGCUUUCCUUCAGUUCCUGGACCAAGCUCUUCCCGGCCUCAGACCCCAACUUUGGCAGGACCUGGAAGAGGAGGAGCUACCACCAAUUAUGGGGAAAAGGCCUAUGGGUUUCAAGUGACUGCAAGCUCAGAGUGAGCCAGCCAGUGACCUGAUUGCUAAAAUAGCCCAGGAAGAGAGCGGACGUUUCUAGGACCAGGAGGAGGCAACUGGGAUCUCCACUGGAAGGAAGUGAAGGCACCAGUUUUGGAGCUCUCCCAUCCCCGUGGCUGGCUCCAGAGAGCAGGGCGCUCCCACCUCUACGGAGGUCCACACCCUGUGGAUGAGAACCGGGUGGGGCAGGCAUGGACUCCUCCUGGAGCAUAGUAACUCCGGAGGACGAACACUGGGUCCUGCCCUUUUCCAAACACUGACCUUGAAUGGACGCAGACAGCUUUUCUAAGACGGGGGCCAGCACUCCUGGGCCUUCACCUCUCAGGUUAGAAGAAACCUGAAACAUUGGGGUUGGAAGGGCCCAGGGACACCAGGUGGAUCGGGUGCUGCAGUCCCAUGCAGGGAAGCUGAGAGCCUGCCUGAGGUCCAUGGUGAGAGGGUGACAAAGGCCAGCUUUCCCCUACGCCUCCUGCUGAACUCAGAAGCUCUGAAAGAAAUGCAAGGAACACAGAAGAUGGCUUCUCUCACACGGUAGAUAGUGAAUGUUCUGAUCUCAGCCCUCGAGAGGAUCAUCUCCCCAUGUUCCCAGCCAGGAAAUUUACAGGCUGUAAUUGACCCAUCCAGAGGGUCUGGGCUCCAAGAGACAGUUGUCCGCUUGCUGGUUCCUCCAUGGACGAAGAUGGCUGAUGAAUCCCUUGACCUCUGCGCUGGCCGCCCUUGGCCUCCAGUGCCCUGGCCAGCGUCCCUCAGCUCUGGCCACAGCUGGGCCAGCCAGUGGGCCCAGGAGCUGCCCAGCUCAAUGUGGAGAGUGGGAUGAGUUUGGCUAAGGGCAGACCCCCUACUCUGCUUUUUUAUUUUAUGUGUAAUUAUAAAACCAAUUCACAACUCAUUAUAAAAUCUGGAAACUACAGAAAGGUAGAAAGGGGAAAAUGAAAAUCAU